AACGAACGCUGGCGGCAUGCCUAACACAUGCAAGUCGAACGAGACCUUCGGGUCUAGUGGCGCACGGGCGCGUAACGCGUGGGAACCUGCCCUUAGGUUCGGAAUAACUCCCCGAAAGGGGUGCUAAUACCGGAUAAUGUCUUCGGACCAAAGAUUUAUCGCCUUUGGAUGGGCCCGCGUUGGAUUAGCUAGUUGGUAGGGUAAAAGCCUACCAAGGCGACGAUCCAUAGCUGGUCUGAGAGGAUGAUCAGCCACACUGGGACUGAGACACGGCCCAGACUCCUACGGGAGGCAGCAGUGGGGAAUAUUGGACAAUGGCGAAAGCCUGAUCCAGCAAUGCCGCGUGAGUGAUGAAGGCCUUAGGGUUGUAAAGCUCUUUUACCCGGGAUGAUAAUGACAGUACCGGGAGAAUAAGCUCCGGCUAACUCCGUG
rnacentral:rRNA from 1 species